rnacentral:lncRNA from 1 species
ACGGCGGCCGAAAUCGGACUUUCGACGACACCGGCGGACUUGGACCGGGCCUUGACCUUGGCCCAACAAAUCUCAGCCCAAUUGAGAUUUGUUCUUGCUCUGAAAUGGGCUUGCUCUUGGGUUUAGGUCUGCUCAAACUGGACUGAACCAAAUGGGCUUUGCUGAACUGAUGGGUUCAUGAGAUUUGCUGGCCCAAAGAAGCUGUUCACUUGGGCUUCAAAUUGAGGGCUGAACUUGGGCCUCAAUUCUACAGGCUUGAAGACUGAAACUCACGGGCUGAGCUGGGCUGCUGGAUUGCGUGGGCUUGCUGAAGGAUCGGUGGACUGGGCUUCGCUGGCGUACGGCUUCAACUGAUGCUGCGAAGAUCUUGGCUUCUCUGGAUGGCGUGGCUGGAGACGCACGAAGAAACUGCUUCGGGAUUUCCGUGAGUGGAGGCCUCACGGUCAACACCAGCUUCGCUGGUUGACUGAAC